rnacentral:rRNA from 1 species
GUAACAAGGUCUCCGUUGGUGAACCAGCGGAGGGAUCAUUAUAGAGUUUUCUAAACUCCCAACCCAUGUGAACUUACCUUUUGUUGCCUCGGCAGAAGUUAUAGGUCUUCUUAUAGCUGCUGCCGGUGGACCAUUAAACUCUUGUUAUUUUAUGUAAUCUGAGCGUCUUAUUUUAAUAAGUCAAAACUUUCAACAACGGAUCUCUUGGUUCUGGCAUCGAUGAAGAACGCAGCGAAAUGCGAUAAGUAAUGUGAAUUGCAGAAUUCAGUGAAUCAUCGAAUCUUUGAACGCACAUUGCGCCCAUUAGUAUUCUAGUGGGCAUGCCUGUUCGAGCGUCAUUUCAACCCUUAAGCCUAGCUUAGUGUUGGGAAUCUACUUCUCUUAGGAGUUGUAGUUCCUGAAAUACAACGGCGGAUUUGUAGUAUCCUCUGAGCGUAGUAAUUUUUUUCUCGCUUUUGUUAGGUGCUAUAACUCCCAGCCGCUAAACCCCCAAUUUUUUGUGGUUGACCUCGGAUCAGGUAGGAAUACCCGCUGAACUUAAGCAUAU